UAAGUACUCCCUCCGUCCAAAAAUACUCGUCGAGGAAUGAAUGUAUCUAGACGUAUUUUCGUUAGAUGCAUUCAUCUUUAUGCAUUUUUUUGACAAGUAUUUCCGGACGGACGGAGUAUUGA
rfam:Triticum aestivum genome assembly, contig: Triticum_aestivum_CS42_TGACv1_scaffold_050506_1BS